CCACUGCUGGUCCGCGCGCGCCCCGGACUGCGCUCCUUGCAAAGCCUUCUCAAUGGUUUGGAAUAGACACUGCUAACAAGAGUAUUAGUAGUAAACUAAGAAGAACAGAGAAAUUGAAUGAAAAGUGAGAACAUGGAGAGAGGCAAAAUGUGCAGAUGAAUGAAGAGAUCUUCAAAGACUUACAGAAGAGACAGGAUAAAAGGAUCUUGGGUCCCUGAGUGACUGUGUGGAGUAGAGACCAUCCACUGACCUGCACUUCAAUGUCAGGUGAAAUAAAUGCUAAAUCAAGCCAUCAGCUGGCAUUUGCUGACUUCUGUGGUAUAAAUUCUCCCGCUGUAGCUGAUUUCAAGCUACUGAUAUGACAUCACCGAACAGGGAGUUGGGAAGAAAUGUGCACAUCAGUAGUGUUUCCACCAUGGAGAGGCAAUCAAUGACAAUAACCCCAAAGGAAAAGAGUAAAUAGGAGGACAAGAAAUAAUUCCAUGGACCAGGAGGACUGAAAAGGUUUGGAGCUUUCCUAGACAAUUUAGAGGCACCUACAAAAGUAAGCUUUCCACAAUAGGAUAACAAAGGAUUUCAAUGGAACCAGCAAAGAAAGGCAGAGGCAUAUGGAGGUUCCCAGGCUAGGGGUCGAAUUGGAGCUGUAGCCACCGGCCUACGCCAGAGCCACAGAAACGCAGGAUCCGAGCCGCGUCUGCAACCUACACCACAGCUCAUGGCAACGCCGGAUUGUUAACCCACUGAGCAAGGGCAGGGACCGAACCCGCAACCUCAUGGUUCCUAGUCGGAUUCGUUAAGCACUGCACCACGACAGGAACUCCAUAUUUUUAUUUUAUUUUAUUUUAUUUGGCUUUUUAGGGCCUGCAGGUAUGGCAUAUGGAGGUUCCUGGCUAGGGGUUGAAUCAGAGCUACAGCUGCCAGCCUACACCACAGCCACAGCAACUCCAGAUCCAAGCCGUGUCUGCGACCCACACCACAACUCACAGCAAUGCUGGAUCGUUAACCCACUAAGCAAGGCCAGGGAUUGAACCCACAUCCUCAUGGAUCCUAGUCGGGUUCAUUACUGCUGAGCCACAACGGGAACUCCCUCUGCCAGCACUUUUACAUUUAUGCUUUUCCUCAUUUCUUUUGCCAUUUUCUAAACACUUGGUUACAUUUUUUAUUUGCUGUUUUGAGUUAUUUUUCUUAGGUGCCCCAAAUUAUAAGCACUUUGAUCCCACAAAAUAUUGAUCCUCUCCUAUAUAAUAGCCCAACGAGUGUCUCACUGCUUUGCUUUACUUGUGGUAUGCCCAUCUAUCCAGCAUGAAUGACCCAAACGUUAGAAGGAUGGGCCGUGUUUCUCACUAUACAGUCUUGGCACUUUUCGUGGCCCUUGUCCAAGUCACCAGAUCACACUCUUCGUCAUUACUGUUAAUAGCAACAGAUUAAAAUGUGACCAUUAAAAGCCAUCUUGGCUCUGCUUCUGCCUGAGUUAAUGAGUUGAGAGAGGAGAAGUUCGAAGAGGAGAACUCUAAAGCAGGCGCUGGAGACAGCGUCUCCUUUUCUACCCUUUCUCCAAAAACUUUACUGGUUUUAUUUCCCAUUUGCUCAGCCAAGUGUGCUGUCUCUCCUUGACCUUGAGAGGUGACUGUUAGACAUGCGCAAGAGAAGAACAUGAAAGCCUCCAGAUAAACUUGACACUGACACAACACACAGGGUCCAAGUCAUUUGUUUUCUUUGACAGGACUGUGCCAGGCUGAAUGGAAGGAGAAAAGACCAUCAGUAAAGCAAAUGGCUCAAAUGGAGUUAUAAAUCAACUCUGUACUCUUCAGGAUUUAUUCAGCUCAAGAUACGUCCAAUUCCAGGCCCUGAUGGCUUUUUCUUUUUGCUUGCAUCGAGAAAUAACAGUUAAUAUAGUUAACUUUCCCAAGGCAGAAGAGUAUUAUUAAAAAAGAAGACAAUGUUAUUGAUUUCUCAAGACACCAUCAGAUAUUUUAAGAUUUGGAUUUGAUAAAACAUAAUAUGAUUUCUUUU
rnacentral:lncRNA from 1 species